rnacentral:rRNA from 1 species
UGAAGGCUGAGCUGUGAUGGCGAGCGAAAUUUAGUAGCGAAGUUCCUGAUUCCACACUGCCAAGAAAAGCCUCUAGCGAGGUGAGAGGUGCCCGUACCGCAAACCGACACAGGUAGGCGAGGAGAGAAUCCUAAGGUGAUCGAGAGAACUCUCGUUAAGGAACUCGGCAAAAUGACCCCGUAACUUCGGGAGAAGGGGUGCUUCUUAGGGUGUUAAAGCCCCGAGAAGCCGCAGUGAAUAGGCCCAGGCGACUGUUUAGCAAAAACACAGGUCUCUGCGAAGCCGUAAGGCGAAGUAUAGGGGCUGACGCCUGCCCGGUGCUGGAAGGUUAAGAGGAGCGCUUAGCGUAAGCGAAGGUGCGAAUUGAAGCCCCAGUAAACGGCGGCCGUAACUAUAACGGUCCUAAGGUAGCGAAAUUCCUUGUCGGGUAAGUUCCGACCCGCACGAAAGGCGCAACGAUCUGGGCACUGUCUCAACGAGAGACUCGGUGAAAUUAUAGUACCUGUGAAGAUGCAGGUUACCCGCGACAGGACGGAAAGACCCCGUGGAGCUUUACUGCAGCCUGAUAUUGAAUGUUGGUACAGCUUGUACAGGAUAGGUAGGAGCCUUGGAAACCGGAGCGCUAGCUUCGGUGGAGGCAUCGGUGGGAUACUACCCUGGCUGUAUUGACCUUCUAACCCGCUGCCCUUAUCGGGCAGGGAGACAGUGUCAGGUGGGCAGUUUGACUGGGGCGGUCGCCUCCUAAAAUGUAACGGAGGCGCCCAAAGGUUCCCUCAGAAUGGUUGGAAAUCAUUCGCAGAGUGUAAAGGCACAAGGGAGCUUGACUGCGAGACCUACAAGUCGAGCAGGGACGAAAGUCGGGCUUAGUGAUCCGGUGGUUCCGCAUGGAAGGGCCAUCGCUCAACGGAUAAAAGCUACCCCGGGGAUAACAGGCUUAUCUCCCCCAAGAGUCCACAUCGACGGGGAGGGUUUGGCACCUCGAUGUCGGCUCAUCGCAUCCUGGGGCUGUAGUCGGUCCCAAGGGUUGGGCUGUUCGCCCAUUAAAGCGGUACGCGAGCUGGGUUCAGAACGUCGUGAGACAGUUCGGUCCCUAUCCGUCGCGGGCGCAGGAAAUUUGAGAGGAGCUGUCCUUAGUACGAGAGGACCGGGAUGGACGCACCGCUGGUGUACCAGUUGUUCUGCCAAGGGCAUCGCUGGGUAGCUAUGUGCGGACGGGAUAAGUGCUGAAAGCAUCUAAGCAUGAAGCCCCCCUCAAGAUGAGAUUUCCCAUUCCGCAAGGAAGUAAGAUCCCUGAAAGAUGAUCAGGUUGAUAGGUCUGAGGUGGAAGCGUGGUGACACGUGGAGCUGACAGAUACUAAUAGAUCGAGGACUUAACCU